rnacentral:miRNA from 1 species
ACAAGUCAGGCUCUUGGGAC